AUUUUACAUGCACCUACUUAGCAUUUUACAUUAUAUUAUCCACAUGCAUUAUUUACAUCAACUACGUGCAUCAUCCACAUGCUUAUUUACAUUUACAUGCAUCACCUACAUGCCUCGUUUAGCAUUUAUAUGCAUCAAUAUGGAUUCUUAAUUUUCUUAGACAUAAGGACGACCUAGUCGCUUCGGUAAGCACAACCCACCUUAACUUACUUUCCAAUUGCUUGUAGUCACUUGCAAUCGGCCGCUCGCGACACCCGCGACCCGGUUUGGCUCGAACUCUCGCGCGACCACCCAAACGAUCUCCGAUUUGCGAUCCGAAAAUUAAAGGUCUUUGGUUAUGUGCCACGGUGCUUCAAAUCCGUUUUCAUGAUUUUACGACGACGCCUCGGCCCUCCAGGCGGAAACGAAGCCUAAACGUCCGUUUCUUUAAUAACUUUGUAACGGCUCGUCGGAUUGCCGAACCGUCUUCGUCAACGCGUUUCGUUACCUAGCAAUUAGGUUUACGGAGGGUUAAUUAAGAUCAAACCCAACUAUUUCCAAAAAAUUACAUUUUGAACCCUAGGUUACGACUAUGCAAGAAAUCACCAAAUCCCUUCACGAAUUAAGCAUCAAUCAUCUAUAUAGCAUGCUAGGAUUCCUCUAAAUUCAUUUUUAGAGAUCAAAACCACAUAUCUAGAGAUCUACCAUGAGAGGGCUCAAAAAGCUCACCUCAAAACUUGCUUCAAACCAUGGAGAAGAUGGAGAAGAUGAAGGUGAUUCACUUCCAAGCUUCAAUCUCCACCAAAUCCAUCCAUUUUGGGAGAGAUUUAGAGAGAGAAAGGAGAGUUUCUCUCUCUCCCUCCAUGCGCGUGUGUGUGUGCGGUUUGGGGCUGCUGCGGCUGAGGAAGGAGAAGAAGAAAAGGGAUUAAAUCCCUUUUUACAACUUAGUCCCUCAACUAUGCACUAUUUACUUCGGGCAGUUUAGAAACUGACAUUUUUCGCCGGAGCCCUUCUGAAUGUCCAUUUGAGCUCAAAUUUGACAGGCACGCUCGGUUUUACUUAAUAAGUCCAAAGAAAUUUUAAUAUUUCAGUUUCGACCCCGUUUGGUCACCGAAAACUGUACCGACCUGUAAUCUUUAUCAGAUAGCUUUCGGAUUCUAUUUUUUCACCUUCCGAGUGUCAGAAUGGUAUGAAACUUUAAAUCUAGCCUCAUAAAAAUAUUUCUGAUUUCUCCGCCAAUUUUCAUAAUUUUCUGACACUGUGCAUUUUCUGCUAAUUUAUCUACCCCGUUUCUUACAGAAAAUUCUAAAUCUUCUGUUUUCGCUCCGAUUUCAGCACAGGUCAUUCCCAACUUAUAUUUCACUUAUCUAAAUCCAAUAAAAAUAGUAUCUUAUACUAUUUUUAUUUAUUUUCACUUUUAUAUUUAAAAUUCGGUAUGUUACGUUCCACCGCAACCUCACCGGAACCAUCUAAAUAUACACCGUAACUUCAUAGUUUUAGAAGUCCGGUACCUUAUAGUAUCUCUGCACAUAUAUAAUUUAUUCAUAUU
rnacentral:lncRNA from 1 species